UCCUCCUGAGACCUGGUCUAUUUCUGAUGAAGACCCAGUUGAAUGUUCAGUGUAAAAAUAGGCCUGGGCUUCAGAUUCAGGUUUUGUGUUUUUUGACGUUGCUUUGACUCUUGGCUCUUUCUGUGACAGAGCCCAUUACCAAAGGUCCCUCAAAGGAUGAUGGGAAAGCUGUCAAACAGCCGCCCACAGAAGCCAAUGUGAGCACGUCCAUCCAGGUGGAUUCCACGGCCAGAGGUUCUGUCGCUGCCUGGGCCAUUUUACCAGUGUUGUUGUUGGCCAUGGCUGCUGCUGGUUCUUACCUGAUGUGGAGGAACUGGCAGCUGAAGAACCAGAAGAGCAUGAACUUCGACAACCCCGUCUACCUGAAAACCACAGAAGAAGACCUGAACAUCGACAUCACCCGGCACGGCGCCAACGUGGGACACACCUA